AUGGGCAAAGGAGAUCCAAGGAAGCUGAGAGGUAAAAUGUGAUAUGCAUUCUUUGUCCACACUUGUUGGGAGGAGCACAAGAAGAAGCACCCAGAUGCUCAGUCAGCUCCUCAGAGUUUUCUAAGAAAUGCUCAGAGAGGUGCAAGACCAUGUCUGCUAAAGAGAAAGUGAGAUUUGAAGACAUGUCAAAGAUGGACAAGACCCAUUAUGAAAGAGAAAUGAAAACCUAUGUCCUUCCUAAAUGGGAGACAAAAAAGAAGUUCGAGGAUCCCAAUGUACCCAAGAGGCCUCCUCUGGCCUUUUUCUUGUUCUAUUCUGAGUGUCGCCCAAAAAUCAAAGCAGAACAUCCCGGCCUACCAUUGGUGAGUUGUAAAGAAAUUGGAAGAGAUGUGGAAGGGCACUGCCGCAGAUGAUAAGCAGCCUUAUGAAAAGGCUGUGAAGCUGAAGGAAAAAUAUGAAAAGGAUAUUGCUGCAUAGUGAGCUAAAGGAAAGCCUGAUGCAGCAAAAAAGUGAGUUGUCAAGGCUGAAAAAAGCAAGAAAAAGAAGGAAGAGGAGGAAGAUGAAGAUGAUGAUGAAUAAGU
rnacentral:lncRNA from 1 species